rnacentral:rRNA from 1 species
GACGGAGGUGGCAAACGUUGCUCGGAAUCACUGGGCUUAAAGGGCGUGUAGGCGGCGAUCUAAGUCGGAUGUGAAAUCCCCCGGCCCAACCGGGGAAUGGCAUUCGAUACUGGAUUGCUUGAGUGCGGGAGGGGCAAGUGGAACUCCAGGUGUAGCGGUGAAAUGCGUAGAUAUCUGGAGGAACGCCGGUGGCGAAAGCGACUUGCUGGACCGCAACUGACGCUGAGGCGCGAAAGCUAGGGGAGCAAACGGG